AGCAGCAGCCGCGGGAAUACGGAGGGUGCGAGCGUUAAUCGGAAUAACUGGGCGUAAAGGGCACGCAGGCGGUGACUUAAGUGAGGUGUGAAAGCCCCGGGCUUAACCUGGGAAUUGCAUUUCAUACUGGGUCGCUAGAGUACUUUAGGGAGGGGUAGAAUUCCACGUGUAGCGGUGAAAUGCGUAGAGAUGUGGAGGAAUACCGAAGGCGAAGGCAGCCCCUUGGGAAUGUACUGACGCUCAUGUGCGAAAGCGUGGGGAGCAAACAGGAUUAGAUACCCCUGUAGUCCCUGUCUCUUAUAC
rnacentral:rRNA from 1 species